AUGUCUGAUGGAGGUUGGAGUUACAGAGAGACAAUGGGUUAUGUGGCAAACCUUCCACAGAAGCCCAAUAUUUUUUUUUAUUAUUACUAUUAUUACUAAGCGGCAGAAGUCAAAUGAUACUUUUUAUUUAUUAUUUUAUUGUAUGACACAGCAAACAAGAUAGAUAUGCUGGAUUUCAUAUCACAAAAUCACAAGUCAAACACUUCCCAAGUGUCUAGGACUGUGUGAUGUAUUUUCGGAUGAUGCGCGCAGAUCCCAGUAGGGUGGCCUUUUGCAGUUGACAGAUCAUAAUUUUGUCAAUGUCUAUUGUUUCCAAAUGACGGCUGAGAUCUUUUGGCACGGCACCCAGUGUGCCCAUCACCACUGGGACCACCUGCACUGGUUUCUGCCAGAGUCUUUGAAGUUCAAUCUUGAGGUCCUGAUAGCGGCUGAGUUUUUCCUGUUGUUUUUCGUCAAUGCGACUGUCACCUGGGAUGGCGACAUCAAUGAUCCAAACCUUUUUCUUUUCCACAACUGUGAUGUCUGGUGUGUUGUGUUCCAGAAGUUUGUCAGUCUGGAUUUGGAAGUCCCACAGUAUCUUUGUGUGUUCAUUUUCCACGACCUUUGCAGGUUUGUGAUCCCACCAGUUCUUUACUGCAGGGAGGUGGUACUUGAGGCAUAAGUUCCAAUGAAUCAUUUGGGCCACAUAGUUGUGCCUCUGUUUGUAGUCUGUCUGUGCAAUUUUCUUACAGCAGCUGAGGAUAUGAUCAAUGGUUUCGUCAGUUUCCUUGCACAGUCUGCAUUUUGGGUCAUCAGCUAAUUUUUCGAUCUUGGCCUUAAUUGCAUUUGUUCUGAUGGCUUACUCCUGGGCUGCAAGGAUCAGGCCUUCUGUCUCCUUCUUCAGUAUCCCAUUUGUGAGCCAGAGCCAGGUCUUCUCCUUAUCAGCUUUCCUUCAAUUUUGUCAAGGAACUUUCCAUGCAAGGUUUUGUUGUGCCAGCUGUCAGCUCUAGUUUGUAGUGCGGUUUUCUUGUACUGAUGUUUUGUCUGCUGUGCUUUGAGGAAUUUCUGAUUUUUGACUUCAAUCAAAGCAGGUUCUUCACUUUGCUUUACAUAUUCUAUCAGGGCAUGUUCUUCUUCUUUGACUGCUUGUUUUACUUGUAAGAGUCCUUUGCCCCCUGAUCUUCAGGCAAGGGUGCAGUGAAUGAUGAAUGGUCAUGAGUUUUCUUGUUUUUCUGUCCAAAUUGUCCAGUUCCACCUGUGUCCAGUUUAUAAUGCCAGCAAUAUAUCUUAUGACAGGUAUGGCCCAGGUGUUUAUGGCCUUGAUGGUGUUGCCUCCAUUGAGCUUGCUUUUGAGAAUUUUUCUGACCCUUUGUGUGUAUUCUUUGCUGACCACAGUUUUCACAUGUUCAUGCUUGAUGUUGUCCAGCUGUAAUAUGUCCAGAUAUUUAUAGGAUUUUAUAGAUAUUUAUAUUUAUAGGGGGCCUAUAAAUAAUAAUAAUAAUAAUAAUAAUAAUAAUAAUAAUAAUAAUAAUAAUAAUUUGAAAUUAAGAAGGCAGAGAGAUUGUAAAUGAUAGGAUUGGUGUGGGAGAGGAAGGCAGUCAGGUAGAACUUGGUAGUUCUUGCUGGUAUAUUUCUUUGGAAUACUCUGGUGCUGGAGGAAAAUCCUGAGAGUGCCUUGGACCGCAAGAAGAUCCAACCAGUUCAUCCUCCAGGAAAUAAUGCCCAAUGGCUGUUCACUAGAGGGAAGGAUAUUAGAGGCAAAGUUGAAGUAUUUUGGCCACAUCAUGAGAAGACAGGAAAGCUUGGAGAAGAUCAUGAUGCUGGGGAAAAUGGAAGGAAAAAGGAAGAGAGGCCGACCAAGGGCGAGAUGGAUGGACGAUAUCCUUGAAGUGACUGGCUCGACCUUGAAGGAACUGGGGACGGUGACGGCCGACAGGGAGCUAUGGCGUGGACUGGUCCAUGAGGUCACGAAGAGUCUAAAAUGACUGAGAUGAGAUGACGAUGAGUAUUAUCAACAACAAUAAUAAUCUUCUAUGUCCUGAUGGAGGUUGGCAUUAGAGACAAUGGGUUCUGUGGCAAAGCUUCUACUCAAGGUCAACAAUUUUGUUGUUGUUGUUGUAUUUACUUGGUGGCAACAGCCAAAUACUUAUUAUUAUUAAUUGAAAUGAGGAAGACUGAGAGCACAGAGAGAAAUAUAAACAGAAAGAACUUGUUUGCAAAGGAAGGAAAUUAUAGAUAUUGGUGGUAAGUUUAGGUAGGUAGGUAAAUAGUUUUCUGAGAAUGAAGCUUUGCUAUUUGCUGGAAUUAUUAUGAUUAUUACUAUUAUUAACUAUCUUUUAAAAGAUUUUCUGAAGGAGGGGAGGGAGGAGAAAAAAUAUAAGGAGAGGAGAGUAAAAGCUCAAGGAUGACUCAAGGCUCAUAGCCACCCUAAUAUUUUUAAAGAAAAGCACACCCACCCAAGAGAUGCUCUUUCUUUUCUCCCAAGUCUCCAAACGCGCACACCUAACCACCUGCACUUUCCAACUCCAAGUCCCACUAAAUAAAAGUUAUUAAGAAAAAAAAGGGAAAAAAGGAAAAUCAAAAAUAUUCAAUGCUAGAGGCCAAGCCAAGCAAAAAGCUAAAGCAGAACUGUGAGCCAGCGACAAGGUAAGUCAAGGCAAUUGGAUGAACUGAAGCAGCACCUCUCAGAGCCCAGACGCAACUGAGAAAUGGAGGUGCUCACCCCAUUCAGUAGACACAGCUUGCAUAAGACACACCACAGCAGUCUUCAGCUCUGAUUGGCUCAACAGGCAGGGCUCACAGGGACACCAUGUGCAACCUUGUGGCAGCUUUUCCGUGCUCUCUGUGCUUCCAAGUAGAAGGGAAAGUAGCCAUGACCAGCAGCCACGUGGGCCGUCUUGGGUGAAAAAGACAUGGUAGCUGAGCCCUUGCCAGUACAGCCGCCCAGACAAGCCAAACUAGCUGAAGAAGCUGAAGACAAACUGCCAAAACACACACACACACAAAAGUAUUCCAAAAAUGGCCACAAAACAUGUUUCUCUGGUGUUUGGAAACCCUGAGGAAAAUUUGGGAGUGACACAAAGCAUUCCAGUUUGAGAGUUUCUCUGCACAAAAUUUUCAGAAAACAGAAAAUUCAAGAUAUGAAACUAUAUUUUCUUGUGCUUUGUUAGUGGUUGCCUCUUCUUCCUUUUCUCUAAAAACCAGUGAAUUUUAUACAGGAUAAAUUCACAGUGACAGUAUUUUCUGUGCAAAAAACAAUAUCUUUUGGGCAGGCAAUGUGUGUAUGUGUAUUUUUCUUUUGCAGAAUAAAGUCUUGAACUGUGUAUUUUUGUGGAAUAAAAGUCUUGAGUUGGGAAGUCUUGGAAAAUUCCACAUUAGGUGUUGGUUGCUUUGAAGAAAAAAUGGCAAAGGUCUACAUUCCUAAUAGAUCUACACAGAAGAUGUGGUUUGUCCCCUCCCCUCCAACUGUUCCCCUUUUUAUCCUUCUGGUACAACUAGGAAGAUAGAAAUAGCCUCAGUUGAGCAUUUGUCUUAAGACUGGUGCUUAAGUACAACAUAUGGAGCUUCACGUUUGUAAGUAUGUAACAUGUCAAAAGUCAGACGCCAAUUAGAGAGCAAAACAGAGUUUAUUCAAGAAAUAGCCCAAAAAUUAGUCACAAACAUAAAAGAGGGCUUAAAAUACUUAACUUUCAGUGUUGUUAAGCAGUCCAAACAAAAAUAUGACAAAAAGUAUGUUUAAACAAGUAAACCGGAUUAUUCAAGCAAAUAAUCCGGGUUAAACAAAAGGUUCUUCAAUUCGACUCAAAGUGUUCUGAGUUGGCUUGGAAUAAGCAGCCAAAACAAAGCAAAGACUUAGAAACUCCCAAAAAACUCCCCAAAGUCCCAAACUAGCGAUACAAACUUAAAGCCCCAAAUGGGAACCCAAACUGGGCAAAGGAGCUCUCCACUGAGAGCUACUAGUAAACAAAAUUUGAGGCUGGUGCAAAAGGGAAAGCGGCUCCAAGCCGCUACGGAGGCCAGCACCAAGCAGAGGAAUUAAAGGGGCAGAGCAAAGAGUCAUCAAACCGGUCUGGAGUCGAAACAGGAAAGGCAGCGGAAACUCGCUACAGAAGCUCAAGCAAACACCAGGAGCCCAAGGAAUGAAGUGGAGAGACGUCGUCAGGACAGUCCAAGGUCUGGAAAGGAGACAGCGACAGAGUCGAGACACAGGCCAGGAGUCAGGAGCCGUAGAUAGACACAGACCAGAGAGCGACGGCAGAAGCAAGGUCAAGUUCCAAUCCAAGGUCCAGAGGUUGUAGACAUCAAUUCAAGGUCCACGAAAUGGAAUGGCACAAAGAGCCAAGGCAACAGAGGCAACAGCAGCUAAUGCAAAAUAGUAAUGACAGUGCAGUCCAGGAAAACCCACACAGUUCCAGCCCUCCGUUGCAGAACAACCCGGAUUAACUUACAUCUGAAGCAAAGUCGCAGUCCAGUCUUCAAUAAAACGUACAGGAGUCCCAGUGGCGCCCAGCAACACCUUGCCACACACAAAGUAAAGUGGCUAAACAUUCCCAAUUUAUCCCAAUCCCCUGGGCAUCCAAACACCAACGCCCAAAGAGCAGGUGUCCCAGUUCAUUAAUCCGAAUCAGAACUCCACACAGCGAAUGCCCGUGGGUCGGGUGUCCCAAAUUCUUCAUCAGAAUCCCAAUCAACCUGCCCACGUCCAGCUCCAUGCACACCUGAGGAUCCAUCCUCACUCCUCCAAGCAGAUCAAGUGGGGUCUGCUUCUGAAGAUACCCAAGUUUCCCCAGUGUCAACAGUAUCCAUGGGCCCUGAUUCCUCCCCAGGCAUCUCCGGUGCCCGUGUCCAGUCAGUGCCCACUUCUUCACUCACCACCUGUUCCCCAGCGUCCAUUUCUUCCAUAGACUGAAUCUGAAUCUUCCUCAGAAAACUCCCCAUCGAGGUCCCUAAUUCUCUUUCUGUGCAAAUCCUCCAACGAGCCCUCCUCACGAGGGUUUUUUCUUCCUCUCCUGAUCCCACCACUAUCAUUCACAGUCCCCAAAGGCACAGUCACAACAUAACAUGUAGUUUGACUCAGAUAAACAAUAAUUCAGUUCUAAAUAUACCUGGAGCUUUUUCUUCUAUUGCUAGAUAAUUCUUAUUUCAUGACAUGGUUGCAACUUGCAUUGCAAAAAGUUAUAUUUUUUGUUGUUGAAAGGUAUAUUGUCUCCUUUCAUAUGGGGUAUUAGUAUUUCAUUCUUGGCUCAGUUCACACAUAUCAGCAAUGAAUCCUACUGUCAUACAUUAUCUCAUAAACAUGAAGUCUGUGAGACAAACUAGAGUAUCUGUGUUUCCAAUCCCAAGCAUUUGAACAAAUUAAAAUGUACUCAUCUGUUCCUCAGAGUUACAGCUGAUCCUUUUAUUUGAUGAAUCAUAUAUAACCCGAAUCUAUCAGAAUCUAAAUUUAUAUACUUAUGCAGUAGGACAGACUUCUUCAUAGAACUUAAUCUCCCUUCUGACAGGUGGUUCUGAUGUGGGUACAGCCAUCUGUCAAAUCAGUCAAAGUAACUUUGGCUCCUUACAUAUCUUAAAGAAGUAGGUUAUUGGUCAAAUAAAGAGAAGGACAUUUGCCUUUCAAAUUAAACAAGCAAACUACCAGGAUUCUAAGAGCUCUUUCAAACAGGCUCUAUAACCCAGGAACUGAUCCCAGGUUUUCUGUUUAUCCCAAAUUAUCUGGCAGUGCAGACUCCUAUAAUCCAGUUUAAAGCAGAAAACCUGGGAUCAGAUCCUGGGAUAUAGAGCCUGUCUAGAAGGUCCCUAAGAAUCAUAGCUCAUGAAAGCAACGUUCUGAAGCAGGAUUCCCCUGGACUUUGCUGGCAUAGAUUUUAGAGAGAUUGUGGCUCUUUUCUGUCAAAAUGAAUCCAAAGGACAUUUAUUUGAUAAUCAAAGGAAUUUCUUAAGGUAGUUAGGAAAGCUCUUAAAGAAGAAAAUUCAAGGUGACCACUCAAGAGUCUUGAUGAUCCUGGCUGUCAACAGAUUUCCCUCCGGGGAGAUGGGACAGGAUACAAAUAAAGUUGUUGCUGUUGCUGCUGUUAUUAUUUUUAUAUUAUUAUUAUUAUUAUUAUUAUUAUUAUUAUUAUUAUUAUUAUUAUUAUUAUUAUUUCAUUUAUAUCCUGCUUUUCUCCCAUGGGUAGGAUUCAAAGCGGCAUACAUAUAAAAUUCAUACAAAUUGUUGUUGUUGUUGUUGUUGUUAUUAUUAUUUCUGUGAGGCAGAUGCACUAUGUAAGCCUUCGAGAGAGCUUGCAAGUCCUAUCAUGACAGCUCUGUAACAAGUUCAGCCAAAUGCCCUUACUGAAGCCUAUAAUAUAUAAUAAAUGCUUCAUUCUACACAAUGCUCAGUAGACAGAAAUAUAGUCCUUGUAAAUAUAAGAUGUGCGGCUUUAUGUGGGUAUUGAUAUCGCUGUACACAGUUUAACCUUAUAUAUGAGCAUACAAAUUUUGAACAGGGAUUAUGUUAGAUGAAAUGAUGAAAUAGUAACCUACACUGGAGGGGAAGGUUUUGCCUGCUCAUAAUUCUAAUCACAGAAACCAUGAUGCAAAUAUUAACAUUUGGUUGGAAUCAAAGAGAAGGAUUUAGGAGCAGCACUAUACUAAUAUGACUCUGUUCAGGAUACUCUUUCCAUGAGAAAUAGAGACUGAGAGUUUGCCAUUUUGAAGAGGGGAGAGAGUGAACCAAUUUUCUAUCCCCUGAAGAGACCUCAUCUACUCCCACCAUGCUCCCAUCCAUUCUUCUUUGCCAGAACCGUAGAUUAGUUGCAUAGCAACAAUGUUUUAUGAUCUUUGGCUACUUCUUGGCAUACUUGGAAGCAGGAAGGAAGCAUUUCAAAAUGUUACAUAUUGGUAACUUUACAUGUUUACAGUUUGGAAAAGGAAAAGGAACAGAUGGAAGAACAGGAGACCCUACCUUGUUUCUCUUCCCUUCAUCAUUCCCUUGCGUAGACUCAAGAAAACAGGCAAAGUUCCUAUUCACAACUUGUCUUCUUUUGUCCCUUGAAUAUUUUCUUUUUCAGGUAUUUGUGAGGUAGGGAUUAGAUUGCAGUGAAGCAGGAACAGAAUCCUGCUUUUGUUUCUAAAGCUAACAUGCCUGCAGUUCCUGAUUUCUUCUAUACGUUGCCUGGGCCUUUCUCUCUAAAGACUUAUUUAUGCAUGCUCUCCCAAAGUACAAGACAAAAAAACCCCCUCUGUUUGCAAAGUUGAAUUAGUGAACAUAUAGCUUUAAAAUGUCUGAAUAUGAUGUAAAAAGGAAUUAUUAGCAUAUUAGAGCAACUAUACAACACGAGAGGGGCAGCAUAUUGAAAUGAAAUUCUAUGAUUAAAGUAUUUAUUACAAAUAAUUUUGACCACAAAUUUAGUCCCACCUAAUAUUCAACUAUAUAAUGCUAGAAUGAUUUAUAUGAGUGUGUUCAUAAUCGUUAGAUACUUUAGGAUAAUAAACUUCAUCAAAUAUAAUUUCCACUGUUCAUUUCAUACAUAGUUACUUGGUGACUAUAGUCACCAGAAUUUCUCUUUAUUGUCUUUGCCUUCUGCCAAAGUGACACAUGUAAUCAUAUAUGUUGAUUUCAUGUGACCCUUAUUGAAAUGCAGUUAUUUUUAUUACAACAUCAUGUUUAUGUAUAAUUGUAAUCUAAGGCAAGAAUUUGCCUGAAGACCAUUGGAAGUUAACACCCUCACAUAUUGCAUUUAAAAGAUUUAACCAGUUUCAGUUACAGCACUCAACAUAUUAUAUAAAAAUAGAUGUGAAAGCACUAGUCUAUGUAUGUAUAAAUUCAUCUAUGUAUUUCAUGGUCACAGAUCACUAAAACACAAGAUAUCUAACAUACAAAACAUAAUACAAAUGAACCACUGAGAAGAAACAAGCACCAUGCUCUGAUUCAUUUUGCAAUCUUCCUAUUCUCAGUGAGUGUAAAUUCAUUCUGUUGCAUGGUCGUUUAUAAACACUUUGCUUUUUUAUGCAGUGUAAUAGUCCCAUGGAGUCUUUCCAAUAGGACUGGCUCUGAUCUCUGAGGAUUGCCUUCUGGAGAGGGAGGAGAGAAAUAAAUUAAAAUGUCCUCUUCCCACUGUUGUUACUUGUAUGAGGAAGGAAUGUGAAUUAUACUGUUAACUGCCUUGAGUCCCAUUAUUUAAAGGAGGAGUAUAAAUGAAGAAAAUAAAAUCGCUUUGAAUGAGAUUUCCUGCUUCUUGACAGGGGGUUGGACUGGAUGGCCUAUGAGGUCUCUUCCAACUCUAUUAUUCCAUGAUUCUAUGAUAUAUCCCAUUGACACAGAUGGAAAAUUUCCUCCAAAUUAAUAUACAGUAGAGUCUCACUUAUCCAACACUCGCUUAUCCAACGUUCUGGAUUAUCCAACGCAUUUUUGUAGUCAAUGUUUUCAAUAUAUUGUGAUAUUUUGGUGCUAAAUUCAUAAGUACAGUAAUUACUACAGAGCAUUACUGCGUAUUGAACUACUUUUUCUGCCAAAUUUGUUGUUUAACAUGAUGUUUUGGUGCUUCAUUUGUAAAAUCAUAACCUAAUUUGAUGUUUAAUAGGCUUUUCCUUAAUGCCUCCUUAUUAUCCAACAUAUUCGCUUAUCCAACAUUCUGCCAGCCCAUUUAUGUUGGAUAAGUGAGACUCUACUGUAUAUUAUUUAAUAAAUAAAAAUGAAUAAAAAUAUCUCUUCACAAAGAAGAGAGAUCAGAAAUUGCUGCUUGCCCAGGCAGCCUUAAUGUGAAACAAAGUAUUUGCCACCCCUUUCUUCUGCAUAUGUUGUAUAUGAAAACAAGGAGGUUAAGCGGAAUGGAAAUUAAUAGCCUACACAUUACAAAGGAUGCAUUGCAAACUUAUAUAUAUUUGGUUUGUUACUGUGUGCCUUCAAGUAAUUUCUGACUUAUGUCAACCCUAAAGAUGAACCUAUCAUGAGGUUUUCUUGGCAAAAUUUGUUUAGAGGGGACUUGCCUUUGCUUUGCUUUGAAGCUGUGAGAAUGUGACUUACCCAAGGUCACUCAGUGGGUUUUCAUGGCUGAGGAAGGAUUAGAACCCUGAUCUCCAGAAUUUUAGUCCAGCAUUGGAACCAUUAUACCAUGGUGGGUCACUUAAAAAUAAGUCCAAUUGUUUCACAUUGUGGUAAUUGUGUAUAGACAUACAUUAAAGCACUACUAUCUUUUUGAUUUUUUAAAACACUGUAAAAAUAUUAUAAUCAAUUCAUUCUAUGAAUACUAUAUUGCAAGAAUAUAUUGGAUAUCCUAAACAGAAUCUAAACAGAAAAGAGUACUUGUCUGUUGUGGAGGGCCAAGAUGAAUCUCAUUUUUCAGUAAAGCUUGUCAGUUUCCACCUUCUUUAUGGGGCCACUGAAUAUGUCUAUUUUACUUUCUCCCACUGUCACUUAAAAAGGAAAAGAAAAAAGCUUCAAGCUAUUUUUGUCCUGUUUCAAUGUUUGGCAAGGUCAUCUAAAAGAAUGAACUAAACAGAACUGUUAUUCAUUUGUACUGUGUUGACCACAUUUCACAGAUAUUGUUCCUAUCAUAUAGACCACCUAAUACUUGGCUACCAUUAGUUGUCAGUUGUUUUGUGGGGGGGGGGGGGGUGGAGUGGUGAAAACCCUAAUUCAGGAUACAAAUGUGGUUCCAUACACAGGAGAGCAGAAGCAGAUUUUUAACUAAGUAAAAACAUAACUGAUAAACCAAUGUUCUCUGCCUGGAAAUCUGAUUUCGGUAAUUUUAGUGGAAUUUGUGGAUUUAGUAAAUUCUUCAAAAAUCGAACCAAAGUUUUCACCAUGGUGUAAAGAAAAAAUGUAUACAUCUUUAAAUAAAAAAUAUUAGGCAA